GUCAUCUUUCAGACAGUCUGCUGAGGUUGUGAAGACCUGCCGGUGAAAUCCCUGAAACCAUGAUCAAGGUUGUGUUUCUGUUUGGAUGCCUGCUGAGCCUGGCUCUGGCAAAUCCUACUUUUGGACAUUUUGGUCACUGGCACAGACAUUCUGGCUCUCAUGAGAACCAUG